CAAUUCCAGAGGGUCAGCAAGCCUUCUGAUACAGAUGUCAGGGUUGAGAUAUCUGAUGCUGAAUCUGAACUGUAAAACUCUACUCUCUGGCUCUCCAAAUGUGGACCCAGAUAUCCCAGGACCCAAUGUGGAACCAAGGACACAAUGUGGAAGAGGGUGCCUAUUCUUAUACCCCCAAAAGUACCCUCAAGAUGUGGGGUCAGAUGUUUGGAAAGAAACAAAGGUAAACAAAAGUUUUGCAAA
rnacentral:lncRNA from 1 species